GGAGGUAUGGCACUUAAGAAUAAUUGCUCUGUACGUGCAGGGAGUGAAACCUUUCUUGACCUGAAGACCUUCAGUCCUGGGUCCUCCACCUUAACUCCAACCAAAACCAGUUUGGCUUUUAGAAUCCAGUUACUUAUGGAACUGGUGUGGGUGGAGUUUCUCCAAGAGAACAACAUAAUUAAGUGUUGAAGAACAUUAGACUCUUAGACAUUUCUGGAAGUAAAAGAAAUCCAACAGUCGUUGAGGAGACGUCAAAGAUUCACCUGUGAUAGAAGAAAUUAUUGUUCCUCUUUGAUAAAACAGUACAAAAUGGAUAAUAAUAAAAUUAAGGAAUUUUCCUGAAAGUCAUGCAGUAAGGAAUGUGAUGAAAGGGGAGAAAUCAAGGGGAAGUCAUACCUUCUUUGGCUAUGAAGGCAAGAAAUCAUAAAUGCAGUAAAAGCAAAAUCAGGAAACUUUUCAUCAUUGUUAUGAAAAAAAUCAACAUUUUCCCUCUCUCAUCUACCUAGAUCAAGAAUUGAAAGAUCAAGCAGCACAGUUCAAAAGUUGAAAGAGAUUAGAUAAAAGAUGAGUUGUGCAGAAGAACCCAAGGAAGAGAUAAAACAACUGGCAAGGUGGUCACUGAAAUUCUCUGCACCAUAUAUGUAUGAGAGUGCUGACAUUUUAAAAUAUAGACCAUUUCUGUAUGUUAUUAGUGCAAAUAUUAGAUUUAUAAUCACCCUGUAUAAAUAAAACA